rnacentral:rRNA from 1 species
UACAGAGGCCUCGAGCGUUAGGCGGAAUCACUGGGCUUAAAGCGUGUGUAGGUGGAUGCCUAAGUACCUUGUGAAAUCCCACAGCUUAACUGUGGAAUUGCUUGGUAUACUGGGUGUCCUGAGCCACUCAGGGGCUACCGGAACAAAUGGUGGAGCGGUGAAAUGCGUAGAUAUCGUAAGGAAGACCAGUGGCGAAGGCGGGUCUCUGGACAGUUCCUGACGCUGAGGCACGAAGGUCAGGGGAGCAAACGGG